rnacentral:rRNA from 1 species
GACGUAGGCAGCAAGCGUUGUUCGGAAUCACUGGGCGUAAAGAGUGUGUAGGCGGUGCUCUAAGUCUGUUGUGAAAUCUCCCGGCUUAACUGGGAGGGUGCGGCGGAGACUGGAGUGCUAGAGUGUGGGAGAGGUAAGCGGAAUUCCUGGUGUAGCGGUGAAAUGCGUAGAUAUCAGGAGGAACACCUGUGGUGUAGACAGCUUACUGGACCACGACUGACGCUGAGACACGAAAGCGUGGGUAGCAAACAGG